UUUCUGUUUCUGUUGGCUUGUCUUGUUAAUUAGUAUUGAUUUUUGUUUAAUUGUUUUUCUAUUGAAUUUUUCAAAUUGUUUAAUUGUGUUUAUCUUUUUAAUCCUCACUCUUUACCAGAUUACAUUAGGUUAAUUGAAUUAUUUCUUUUAAUUUGAUUAUUAGUGUUUGCUUCAUCCAAUAUUUCCCGGACAACAGCAAGUGCAACCAGGAAUUUUGUUUUCUUUCUUUGGAAAAAUUUAAAUUUAAAUUCGUUAAUUCUACUAAUUAUUUACUCAAAAGCUAUGUCACCAUUUCACUCAUGUUAAUGAAGGAUUGAUUGUGUGAGAAAAAAUAGCGGAACAUCUGAUAAUGUGACUUGAUUGUUUCCACUAUUAGAUGUAAUCAAGAGGCAAUCCUGUUAUCUAUAGUUGAAGUUACGGAUCAGUAUUUCAUGUUAUCAAGCCAAGAUAUAAUUGAAUGGCUACAAAAGGUACAACGGUUUAAAAGUAAACGGAUUGGUCUUAAUGGGAAGUUAAAGUAAAGAAUGGCAACCAGAAAAGAGUGAAAUUGAUUUUGACAGAUUCAGUUAGGAUGAUCAUUUAAACUAACAAUUGGUGUGCAAUAGCAACGUAAAGAGAGAAGGAAAGCUAAACAAUGGCCGAAUAAAGUUAAAUUUAUAGCAAACCAAGUUGUGAGAAGAUGCUAAUUCAAUAAGCGUAAAACAAGAUGAAAAAUCGAUUCCAGGUCAAAAGCCUGAUCAAACCUGUCCAUUUCAUUUCAAGGGUUCAGUUUCAAUUGGUGAUGAUGAACAUGAUGCAAAAAAAAGUGAAGCCUGUGCAUAGUUAAUCAUGCAAGAUAAAAUAUUUUGAUGAACAACAUCAACUCUUCUGUUUACUAUUGCCUGCUAAAAUAUAUCAAGUAACAUGAAAUUGAGAAGAGGAUAAACAUGAUCAACACCAAUGCCAUUGAGACCAACAACAACAUAAAUUUACACCCAAUAUUCUAUGGCUUAAAUCGAUUUUGUCUGACCUGGUAUCAUUCUUGUUCUCAAUGUUAUCAUUACAUCAAAUUGGGUUAUAUCCUAUUGGCCUAUGUCAAAACAAAUCCCACUGACCUCUAAAAUGAAUGGCAAUUUCCUGAUCUACGGCUUUCUAGGUUAAACAAACUACCACAAUCACGUCAAAUACCAAGUGUAAAUAAUUCAAUAAUAUUAAGCGAGAGAGAACCAGUUUAUCGUUACAUUUCUUGGAUAUUUAUUUGGUGUUUGCAGAUAGCAGAUUUAAACAAGAAAAUAGGCAAAGUAAUUGGUGUUAAUAAUAAUUGAUGGAAUCUAUGUCAGCAAAGAAAGCAAAGACUCAAUGAACAACCCAUUUGCAAUUACCAGUGGCCUAACAAGUAAACAAGAUUGAUCUUGAUCAUUGUAAACAUUUUAGGGGGCAAAGAUGAAUAUAACCAUGGUCAAGAAAUAAUUUAACAAUGUGAGAAAAGAAGUCCAAUAACUAAUGUAGAUUGAUGACCUAAAUGUAUGGCCUUAGAUCAACCUCAUUUUCUACCAACAAACUGACCCAUGUUGGUAAAAUUGUUGUUGUUACCGUUGGAUCUGGAUUUUUGUCUAGCCUGAGAUUGAUUGCAUUUAUUUUGGUUUUCAUCGAAACAAGAGCAAUUGCUUUUCACCAACCUGAAAAAUGAAACUAGAGUCAGAACCGAUAUCCUCAGCAAAAUGGACUGCUUUUAACUUAAUUUAUUGCAGAUCCCAUUGACAUUGAUAAAACUAACAAGAAAUAUUAAUCAAGGAAUAAAUUGACAAUUGCUUUACCAGAUGAAAUAAACCCACUUGUGUGACAAUAAAAAUGAAAGACAAGGUAUCGGUACAAGCAGACCAAGGUUAAAUGCGAUUUGUAUCUCAACAUGAAUGGGACUAAAGAACGGAAAAGUAUAAAUAUGAUACUCUUUUUUAUUCAUUUGAUGGUGUCACAUGGCGUUUCAAUGGAUACAGUUUAAUGAGAUGUGAAGAUAAUACUGAAAGAUAAUGUUGACUAAGUGAAAGAGUUUUAUGUUACUGGACCUUUAAACGAACCUGAAAAAGAUUAAAAAAUGAACUCAAUGUUGGCCAAAAAAAGGACAGAAACAACUUUAAUCGAUAUUUUUGGGCACACUUUUUUUUCUCUCUUCUUUCGAGACAAAAUUUAUCAUCUUGAAAACUCUUCAGGAGGCGAUUAUCAUUUGCUGUGCUGAUGAUGGUGCGUUGGAACAUGUAAAGAAAGAUUUUACUUGUGAUUUGCCAUUUUUAUAUCAUGGAUUCCCCUUGUCAUCUUCAUUAACAUCUUUAACUCGUUCAAAAAAAGGAGGCAAAAAAAAGAUUGAAACUGAAACAAGAAGAAAACAGAAACAGAUUUAGAUAAAGAUGAAGCUCAGCAAAGGGCAAGAUAAAUAGCCGAAUAUUGCUUUCUCCCUUUUAACUGGAUCAUCUCUCCCUUUGACCAGAUUUCAGGCCAAUGAUGAUCUAAAGCCCGUCGACAACUUUCAAUGACACCAAAAUAUUGAAUGAAAAAAGUGGCCUUGAGUUGGUUAAGUGAGAGGAGGUCAUUGAUAUGGGUCAGUUGAAUCUAUCAUUUCAAUCUUUUUAUAAUAACUUGUAAUAAUAAAUGUAUUAUCAUUACAUGAAGAUGAUAAUGAUUAUUGUAAAUAUUAUAAGAUGUGUUGUGUAUUAUUUUAAUCAAUUGAAAGAGAUACUUGAGUGAUUGGAAUGAAAGAAAAACGUUGAAUUGUUGUCUUUUGAUGGGUAAUAACAGUGUUGAUGUAUAUUAAUUAUGAAAAUGUGAUUCUACCAUUUAUUCUUGCUGUCAAUUAUAAAGAAUUGAAGGUUUCUCAUCAAUUAAAUGUUAAGGUGAUUAGUGUAAAAAA